rnacentral:rRNA from 1 species
AUCUGUGGCGAACGGGUGAGUAACACGUGGGUAACCUGCCCAUCAGAGGGGGAUAACAUCCGGAAACGGAUGCUAAAACCGCAUAGGUCUUCGAGCCGCAUGGCUUGAAGAGGAAAAGAGGCGCAAGCUUCUGCUGAUGGAUGGACCCGCGGUGCAUUAGCUAGUUGGUGAGGUAACGGCUCACCAAGGCCGUGAUGCAUAGCCGACCUGAGAGGGCGAUCGGCCACAUUGGGACUGAGACACGGCCCAAACUCCUACGGGAGGCAGCAGUAGGGAAUCUUCCGCAAUGGACGCAAGUCUGACGGAGCAACGCCGCGUGAGUGAAGAAGGUUUUCGGAUCGUAAAACUCUGUUGUUAGAGAAGAACAAGUGCUAGAGUAACUGUUAGCGCCUUGACGGUAUCUAACCAGAAAACCACGGCUAACUACGUGCCAGCAGCCGCGGUAAUACGUAGGUGGCAAGCGUUGUCCGGAUUUAUUGGGCGUAAAGCGAGCGCAGGCGGUUCCUUAAGUCUGAUGUGAAAGCCCCCGGCUCAACCGGGGAGGGUCAUUGGAAACUGGGGAACUUGAGUGCAGAAGAAGAGAGUGGAAUUCCAUGUGUAGCGGUGAAAUGCGUAGAUAUAUGGAGGAACACCAGUGGCGAAGGCGACUCUCUGGUCUGUAACUGACGCUGANGCUCGAAAGCGUGGGUAGCAAACAGGAUUAGAUACCCUGGGUAGUCCACGCCGUAAACGAUGAGUGCUAAGUGUUGGANGGUUUCCCCCCUUCAUGCUGCAGUUAACGCAUUAAACACUCCCCCUGGG